CACAAAACUCUCUCAAACUCCCUACACUCUCUCAAACUCUCUCAAAAUCCCUGAGAUUUAAAAUACACUCAACUCCCCCGAAAUCAUUCGAGGACUAACCCCCGGUACUUUCGCCGUCUCUUUUCUCCGUCCCUGAUCCUAUUUUCUUCGCCUCUUAGUUCAUCGCAUGCAUGUGUUUUGAUCCAAGGGAGAGUUCUGUACGUUUUUAUUUUCCAUGGGAGAUUUUUGCUAUUGGUAAACCCUUACCUUUCUUUUCUGUCUCUUUGUUUCUCUGCAUCAUAAACCCUAACCCUUCCACCUCCAGUUUACCCACCCCUUCUCUGAUUGUUUGGCUAGAUGUUUUUCUGAUUCGUGUUCGUUUUUUGUUGCGGGCAUCUUCAUCAUGGGUCAUUGAGAAAAAAUCCCCCUCUUGGUCGGAUAUAAUUCAGUACUGGUGAUAACAACUCGCAGAGCAGGGAAAUGGAAGAAAGGUAAAAUUCAUAAUUCUUCAUUGAUCUACUUCUUUUGUCAGGUUGAUUUUUAGGGUACUGCAGAUCCACAAAAAAUAUCAGAUGUUUUAUGGAUUUGAACUUCAAAAUGUUUUUCUAACGGUGUUGUUGAUAAGAAGGAGAAAAAGGAAAAAGAUAGUAUCUUUUGUACCAUUAUUCGUGCAAAAUCCCAAGAAAGAGUAAUUUUAAAGAGAAGGCGAAAGGAACAUAAAGGUUUUGCACUGUCGCAAUAUGCAAGAAAAUUAUCAGGAACGGUUAGGUGAUUGCAAUCCCGUUGUUGUUUUUUAUUUUUUAUGACUAAGUAACAGUAUGGUCACUGUUACGACUAUCUUUAAGGAUCUCAUCAAAAAACAAUUGGAAGAGAAUGCAUCCUUGAAAGCCGAAGUGCUAGCUCUUCUGAGGUGGGAAUAGAUCAGGCAUGCCUUCUCAUUUAAUGUACUUUAGGACUUGACUCAUGGAUACUGCCACUGAAAUGGACUAUGCAAAGUACAUUGCAUAUAAAUGUGAAAUGUAUGUGUACAAUGCAAAAAUUGCCACUACUAACCAACACUAAACUCUCUCUAUAUGUGAACUGAUAGUCACUUUUGUUAUUAUUCUUUUUGUUUUUGUUUGAUUGUUAAAAUUUAACAUUAUAAUGUGAUUUUUGUGUUAAUGACUACUGCAGUACAACCACUGCAGAAAUUAAGUAUAACUGCUACUGGAUGCAACUUAUGAUGCAGCCACUGCAAAAGUUAAGUAUAACUGCUACUGGAUGCAACCUACGAAUGCUGGCAGUAGCUACAAGCCAACCUAGCUCUACCAUCCUCCAAUUCUGAUGGCACAAAUUCAAUUUUCUGAAAGCCAUCGAGAAGUCAUACUUUGGUCACUGUCAGAAUGAGACACAGGAAAUGUAGUUUUCUUACAAUGCUCAUGUCAUCCAUGACAAGGUAAGUUUUCUCAUCAUAGUAACGAAAAUUUACAGUACGUUGAAUUCUACUAAUACACUUCUCAUAUAACCAAUGUGGAUCUUAUACGUUCCCUUUUCUAUUGUUUAACCUUGCAUAUUUGUUGCUAUAUCCACGGUAUUGCUCUAUUUAACCCAUGUAAUCCAUACGAGACUCCAACAGUCUCCAAGUCUCCAAUUUGGUGCUCAAAAUCCAUCAGCUGAUGUCGUACCAGGAACUCUAAGAGCGGUAGAUGAAUAAAAGAAAGAUUAAAGGCAGUUCAAGAGCCGAGUACAAGGCGUGUCUGGCAUUGGCUUGGAUCUGUUUAGAAGCCAACAUGCAAACAAGGUACGGUGAUGGUGAUAUGUUAACAAUGGGUGUUGAAAACGUUUUGGUGGCUGUAUUUGGUAGUUGUACGUGCUGGGGAACGAUCUGUUGAAGGAUAUCGACUGCGUUUAAGCCGAUAAACUGGCGAGAAAAGAGGUUCCAUGGACUGCUGCUGCCACUGAUUUCGUGUGGCAAAAUGGUGAUGAACGGAGAGGAUCAUGAGGUUGUUCUCAGCUGGAAUAAAAUAAGGAUGAUGGAUGGAUGUACAAAGAUUGUGAAGCUUGAGUUCAAGACAUACAUACAACAAUAACAACAACAGUGGAUAUUGGGGGCUUUCUAUAUGCAUUGAGGACUGGAUUCGCGCCAUGGAGUUCAAGGAGUAGUAAUUGAAGAUGGGUUUUGCAUGAAGCUGUUGGAUCAGCGAAGAUGGAUUUUCUUACAAGGGCGCCGAACCAGUGGUGUUAAUACUGUGAUUGUUGCUUUUGAUUCAGGGAUUCAGGGGUUUUGACCUAAAAUUGGCGUUGGUUGUGAUGGAUGUUACCAGUAUUAAGAGUGCAGUGACUGCAGUCAGUGAUGGUGAUAACACAUGUAUGCUGAUUUAGGUCAUAAUUCAGUUGGAUUUAAAUUCAAGUUCAAGGAGAAAGGGAAGUGAACAACUGCGAAGAAAAAUGAAGUUGGGGUCGUUAGGAACCAAAAAAAAUAAAAAAACAAACAAACCCUAACUUCUUUUUCUUCCCUCUUUUCUUCCACCGGUGGAGUAAACCGCCACAUUGAGAGGUGGGUGUGCAAUUGCGCCCCCUCAAAUGUAAGCUUCCAAGCCUAAUUUAAGCAAUUUUCCUCCCAUUUUAGUCAUUUUUGCACCCCCUAAAAUGUGUGCAUGAUUGAUAAUUUGCCCACCCAUUUCUAGAAUUCUGGCCCCCCCUGAGUAAACCCUAACUUCUUCUUUUUUUUAUAUAAUUUUGAUUAGGGUUUGCUUUCCUUGCAAAUACUUUGCUGCCAUCUUUUCUGCCUUUUGUGCAAGUGAAUCUAUGGUAACCUAAACGGCUAAACCUAUUCUCUUUUGCACUUAAAAAUUGAAAGUGCAGCAUUAUUGCUUUAACAUUA